AUUUCUCUGUUUACGUUAUCACGUGUGUGGGCAUUUCUAAAUAUAGAAACGGUUAACGGAAUUCCUUGUCGUUGGAAUGAGAAAACUACUGCAAGAUACGGGGAAGUUUCGAUUAAGUGAAGAAGCAUUUCUUCUGUUACGUCAGCAAUCUCUUCGGAAGCUUGCUGAUCCAAGAGCCAGUUUAACACGUCUUCCUCACUGGAUAGAUCCCCUGAAAUUGAUGGAAAUUUAAAAAUUUGGCACUCAAACCAUGGUUCUAUGGUAAAAUACAACUCCCAUAUAGGAAGCUAGGAGCAUUGGAGCCGAUGCGGCGAAGGUUAACACGAAUAGAAGAACUUUCAUUAACGAUAUAAAGAAGAAUUAACUAAGUAAGGAAGAAGGAAAAAUUUCUAUAUAAAAGUCAAAAAUUUGUCAUUGGAAGGAUCAAUUUGGCUGUCUUUCUAUAAUAAAAACAUACAACUGAGUGAGGUAAUGAAGUGUAUAUUUAGAUUGCUUCUGUUGUAUCAUUUGGACCUAUUGGCAAUAUGAAACAUCUGCUGGGAAUUGACAGAUUAAGGUUAAACAAGAAAUCUUAAUCUAGUAAAGAAGGAUGUGAGAGACUUAAUUUUUUUAUAUUUAAUACAUGAGUGGCUUCCAAUCACAUGCUUAUGUAACAUAAAGAAGCGGAUUAUGUUGCUCUGUUACUGUAUCUAGAAAAUAUGUGUGUGUAAGUUACGCACUUUACAGUUGGACAUACUCUUUUUGCUCUGGUAAAGUCAUUCCUAUCUGAAACACGAAAUGGUGUUGAAUGACAAACUUUAAAUCUUACAUAAAAAAACAUAAGAAAUACAGAAAUAAUUACAUUGAUUAAUUACAGACAAAUUAGGUUACAUUGAUUAC